rnacentral:rRNA from 1 species
UAGGGAAUCUUCCACAAUGGGCGCAAGCCUGAUGGAGCAACACCGCGUGAGUGAAGAAGGGUUUCGGCUCGUAAAGCUCUGUUGUUAAAGAAGAACACGUAUGAGAGUAACUGUUCAUACGUUGACGGUAUUUAACCAGAAAGUCACAGCUAACUACGUGCCAG